GUAGAUAAGUCUACCUCUUUUUGUCUUUUCAUUUCUUUAAAUAGGAAAGUACAGGAAGCAAAUAACAGAAACAAGAGAUGGAGUCAUUGACUCCUAUAAUGCAGGAAACAUGGGAAAGGUGGAGAACGUUACGUAAGAAGCGUUCCCCUUAUUUAACAACUGAAACAAACUAAAUAAAAGAUAUAUCUUUUUAAAGAUAUUUGCUGUUUGGCUUACGUGGUCGUGUUGAUCUCUUUGGCGCCACUUCAACGUCAACUAGCGAGUCUUCUUGUAUCCUAUCAACACUCCCAUCCUCAAAAAGAACCUUGUCCUCAAGGUUCAUGUGAAAUGUCGGGAAACUGGUAGUAAUCUGUUGCUUGUCCUCCCAAGUAGCUUCCGUAGCAGGCAAGUCAACCCAUUGAAUUAGUAACUCUGUCAGCUCCUUUCCAUUUUUUUGACUUGUGCGUUGUUGCAGGACCUUUGCGGGAGUGAGGCGUAAGAGACCAGAUUCCUUCAAUGGUGGUAAUGGAACUGAAACGGGUUCGUCACUACCAACACGUUUCUUCAGUAAGGAGACAUGGAAGACGUUGUGGAUUCGAGCGGUGGAAGGAAGAGCGAGUCGGUAAGCAACUUGGCCAAUUCGAGCUUCAACUCUAAACGGUCCAAAGUAGCGGUGGGAGAGCUUUUGCGAGGAACGGCGGAGAACAGUUUUCUGACGGUACGGUUGGAGUCGCAAGAAAACCCAAUCUCCUAUCUCGAACUCGAUGUCUCUGCGGCGUGCAUCGGCGAGUUGUUUCAUUCUGUUGUUCGAGGCUUCGAGGUGAUGUUUGAGCUCAUCGAGAAGCUCGUCCCUAUGCUGUAAUUGUUCAUCAAUCUCACCAACAAGAGUUGAGCCAAGUUCAUACCGUGGUAUAGCAGGGGGAGGGCGACCGUAGAGAGCCUGAAAAGGGGUUGUACCGGUGCUGGAGUGGAAGGUGGUGUUGUACCAAUAUUCAGCCCAUGGAAUGAAUGAGCUCCAGUGCGUUGGCCGUUGCUGGACAAAGCAGCGAAGAUACUGCUCAAUGCAACGAUUCACCACCUCUGUCUGGCCGUCGGUCUGAGGGUGGUAGGCGGUAGACAUCUGAAGUGUAGUACCUGAGAGUCGCCAUAAUUCUUUCCAGAAGUGGCUGAGGAAGAUCGGGUCUCGAUCGCUGAGUAUUGUCCGAGGCAGUCCGUGUAGUUUGACAAUGUUGGCGAUGAACUGUGUAGCAACGAUAGAAGCAGUGUAGGGGUGAGAUAGUGGAAUGAGGUGGGCUGACUUACUGAGUCUGUCGACGACCACCAUGAUUGAUGUGAAAGAACCAGAACGGGGCAAACCGUCGACGAAGUCCAUGGAGAUGUCUUCCCAAAGCUGUUCGGGAACAGGAAGUGGCUGAAGGAGGCCGGCUGGUGACAUCGUUUGUGACUUGGCGCGCUGGCAAGUAUCACAGUGAGAGAUGUAGUCGACUACUGUCUUGUGCAUCGAGGGCCAAUAGAAGUGGUGAGAGAGUCUUUUGAAUGUACGCAAGACACCGGGAUGACCACCCAAUGCUGUAUCGUGAUGCUCAAAUAAGAGUUGCCUGAUAAGAGAGGAACCUGGCGGAAUAACAACUCUAUUGUUGUAACAGAGUAGUCCAUCUUUCCAAGAGUACGGUUGUCCCGGUUUCUCUGUUGCUGCGGUGCCAAUGCGGAGGAGGUAAGGGUCGGAGGAUGUCAUUGCCCGGAGAUCGGUCCAGAUAGAUGUUUGUGGGACUGAUAUUGCUGCCAAGACAGGGCUAUCUUGUACGCGAGAUAAAGCAUCCGCUGCAGAGUUAGUUUUUCCUGGCUUGUAAACAAUGUCAUAAUCAUACCCGACGAGUUUAGACAUCCACUUCUGCUGCUCCGGUGUAAGGAUGCGCUGCUCCAGCAUAUAGCGUAGGCUUCUCUGGUCUGUCUGGAUAGUGAAUUUACGCCCCAAUAGAUAAGGCCUCCAAGUGCGAAUAGCGAUGAUAAUUGCCAACAUCUCCCGUGCAUACGUUGACCAUGCUUUCUUUGUAACACCCAAAGACCGACUCAUAAAAGCAAUUGGCUGCCCGUUCUGAGAAAGAACUGCACCAAUCCCAUCGCCUGAUGCGUCAGUCUCGAUCACAAAAUGUUUGGUGAAGUCAGGAAGAGCCAACGUUGGGGUAGACGAUAAUGCCUCUUUCAAUUUGUUGAAGGCGACGUCAGCUUCAGAGCUCCAUGUGAAUUUGCCUUUGCGAAGGAGGUUGGUAAGUGGUCUUGCGAUCAGCCCAUAGUCACGUACAAACUUGCGGUAGUAACCGGUUAGGCCAAGAAAGCCGCGUAGAUCAGUGACGGAUGUGGGAACUGGCCAAUCUGUCAUCGCUUGUACCUUAGACUGGUCCACUGUGACGCCGGUGUUGGAGAUAAUGUGGCCUAGAUACUCGAGCUCUCGCUUCCCAAAUUCACAUUUCUUAAAUUUAACAGAAAGUUUGUGAUGUUGGAUUAAGCUCAGUACCUCGCGAACGUGCCGCAGGUGUGCUUCCCACGUUGGGCUGUAAACAAGUAUGUCGUCGAAGAAGACGAGCACGAACUUGCGCAUGUAUGGCCUGAAUAUGUCGUUCAUGAGUGCUUGGAAGGUCGAUGGUGCGUUGCAGAGGCCAAAAGGCAUAACGAGAUAUUCGAAAUGACCGUGAUGAGUUCGAAACGCCGUUUUGUGGAUGUCGGAAGAGCUCAUGCGGACCUGGUGGAAGCCGGCGGUAAGAUCCAGUUUAGUGAAGUAGGCAGAACCGUGUAGUUCGUCGAGCAUAUCCUCUACCGUAGGAAUUGGAAAACGAUCUUUGAUGGUAGCAGAAUUUAGCGCUCUGUAAUCGGUACAGAACCUCCAUGAUCCGUCUUUCUUCUUUACUAGGAGUACAGGGGAGGAGAAGGGACUGGAACUGGUUCGGAUUAUGCCUGCUUUAAGCAUCUCAGUGACCUGUCGCUCGAUCUCGUCUUUCUGGAAAUAUGCGUAGCGAUAGGGUCGGACGUUGAUGGGAUCGGUGCCUUCCUUGAGGGUAAUGCUGUGCUCGAUGUCGCGGAGGGGAGGGAGGCCCUCUGGAGUCUGAAAAAUUCCAUCGAAUUCAUCCAAGAGCAAACGUAUAUCGUCGUUGAGUUCCUUCGGUGUGGAAGAGUUCUCCGAUGAACAUAGCGCAAAGAGAAGAUGACCUUGACGGGCUUCUUUCUCAAUUUCCUCUUUUGUCGUGGGCCUGAUUGUGUUUUGUGGAAGCCCAGUUAGAAUAUGGGUUUCUCCUUCCCAAUCGAACUUCAAUGUUUGGGCUUUCCAAUCCGUAUGUACGGGCCCAAGACGCUGUAGCCAUUGGAUUCCCAGUACCAAGUCGAGGCCCACUAAAGGAAGAGCGUAGAGAGUUAUUUGGAACUGAGCACCGCCGAUCUUGACUGUGACAGCAUCAAAUUUCCGGCGACAGCGAAGUGGAGUUCCAUUAGCGACACGAACAUCAAACGGUUUGGUUAUCGUCUCUGGUAACUGUAAUUCGGAGGCAAUUUUUUCACUGAUGAAAUUGUGUGUAGAGCCACUAUCCACAAGAGCGUGGAGGUUGUGGUUCUUGACGACGGCGAGGAGGCGCGUUGUGGUGGGAGAAUCCCAUCCGGUGAGGGCGUUGAGGGUGAUCUCGGGCGUGGAAUUGUCUUCCUCAGUGUCUGUUUCAUCAGAAUCUGCAUCUUCGAUUCCUUCCAUGAUGAAUAUUUGGGGGUUAGCGCACUUGUGGCCUGGUGAGUACUUCUCGUCGCAGCUAAAACAGAGGCCUAGACUGCGUUUUCUCCUCAUCUCUUCCCAACUGAGUUUGCGAGGCGUUUGUACGGAUUGUGGUGUUGUGGUUGGUGCGGCGGAGGGUCGGGGGUUUGGCGUUGAGAAGGAUUGGUUCCGCGGAGUGAAACGUUUUUGUUUCUGCAACUGAUCGUCUUUCAUUCUAGCCAAGUUGAUGACCUCCUGUAGUGUCUUUGGCUGGAACAUACGCACAUCAUCAGCUAUGGUGUGAUGGAGUCCCCCGAGGAAAGUACCGACAAGUGCUUCUUCGGACCAGUUUGUUACUUUGUUGCGUAGUCUUUCGAAAGCUCGCUGGUAAUCGCGGAACGUCCCUGUCUGGCGUAUUUUAGAUAGCUCCUCGUGAAAGUUUGUACUACGAGUCGGACCAAACCGAGUCCACAACUCACUUUCAAAUGUUUCCCACGUGAUAAGAAUCUGAUCAACGCCGAGUGCACGUACAGUCGCCUGCCACCAUUCGUUGGCUUCCUCCGUAAGAUGGUAGGAGGCGAAACUUACUCGCUGGUUGCCCGUGAUCUCAUGAUAAGCAAAAUAUUGAGAUGCUUUGGUGAGCCAUUCUGUCGGGUCGCCGUCUCUGAACUUUGGAAGUUCGAGCUUAACACGUCGAUUUUGGUGAGGAGGGGCGAAAGGAUUGACAUUGUCGGGGCGGUUAUGGUGUGGAGGGGCCGUAUCGUGAUUGGGUGGAACUUGUGACGAGCUUGAUCCGGUUUCGCGAGGGCCAAUGAAAAGCUCUCGCAUUUCCUUUAUGGAGUCAGCCAUCGUUUGGUGAAAGGAAUUCUCCAGACCCCGAAUCCUAUCGUUGAUGCCGGUUGUUAGUUUGAGGAGUUCAUCUUGAACCAUUCCCAUGCUUGAUUCGAGAUCCUCAAGUCGUUCGCGGUUGUUGGCCAUGGUCUCGUUCCGUAGAUUUUGAGCCACAGCCUUGCUUUUUUGUGAGUUUUUUGUGGUGCGAGGCGGAAUUGUGAAUGAGUGGGGGUGGAAGUGUUGGAAAAAAAAAAUUUGGUUAUCUUGCUGAACGUUGAUUCCUGGAAAUGCCGUCAACAAGAAAAAGAAAACGAGCUCUGAUACCACUGAUAGGUCCCUUGCCAAGAGAUACCAAUGUUGAUCAUAAGUAACAAGAACACAAGUAAUUUUGGGUAGAUAAGUCUACCUCUUUUUGUCUUUUCAUUUCUUUAAAUAGGAAAGUACAGGAAGCAAAUAACAGAAACAAGAGAUGGAGUCAUUGACUCCUAUAAUGCAGGAAACAUGGGAAAGGUGGAGAACGUUACGUAAGAAGCGUUCCCCUUAUUUAACAACUGAAACAAACUAAAUAAAAGAUAUAUCUUUUUAAAGAUAUUUGCUGUUUGGCUUACGUGGUCGUGUUGAUCUCUUUGGCGCCACUUCAACGUCAACUAGCG
rnacentral:lncRNA from 1 species